AAGUCGUAACAAGGUUUCCGUAGGUGAACCUGCGGAAGGAUCAUUAACACGUAUCCAAACGGUGAAGAACGCAACGAUGGUUGGCUC
rnacentral:misc_RNA from 1 species